UACGAAGGGGGCUAGCGUUGCUCGGAAUUACUGGGCGUAAAGGGAGCGUAGGCGGGUCGUCAAGUCAGGGGUGAAAGCCCAGAGCUCAACUCUGGAAUUGCCUUUGAGACUGAGUGGCUUGAGUACGAGAGAGGUGAGUGGAAUUCCCAGUGUAGAGGUGAAAUUCGUAGAUAUUGGGAAGAACACCGGUGGCGAAGGCGGCUACACUGGCUCGUAACUGACGCUCAUGCACGACAGCGUGGGGAUCAAACAGG
rnacentral:rRNA from 1 species